GGGUCAGUAGGUUGGUCGUGCCACCGGUACGUACUGGUCUCACUGAUUCCUCCUUCCUGAAGAACCGUAAUGCCAUUAAUCUGGUGUUGCGGGGAAACAGGACUGUUACUUUGAAAAAAUUAGAGUGUUUAAAGCAAGCUAACGCUCGAAUACAUUAGCAUGGAAUAAUGAAAUAGGACGAUCGAUCCUAUUUUGUUGGUUUCUAGGAUUGACGUA
rnacentral:rRNA from 1 species